ACGGCUCAGUAACACGUGGAUAACCUGCCCUUGGGUCCGGCAUAACCCCGGGAAACUGGGGAUAAUUCCGGAUAACGCACAUAUGCUGGAAUGCUUUAUGCGUAAAAUGGAUUCGUCUGCCCAAGGAUGGGUCUGCGGCCUAUCAGGUAGUAGUGGGUGUAAUGUACCUACUAGCCAACAACGGGUACGGGUUGUGAGAGCAAGAGCCCGGAGAUGGAUUCUGAGACAUGAAUCCAGGCCCUACGGGGCGCAGCAGGCGCGAAAACUUUACAAUGCGGGAAACCGUGAUAAGGGGACACCGAGUGCCAGCAUCAUAUGCUGGCUGUCCGGGUGUGUAAAAUACACCCGUUAGCAAGGGCCGGGCAAGACCGGUGCCAGCCGCCGCGGUAACACCGGCGGCCCGAGUGGUGAUCGUGAUUAUUGGGUCUAAAGGGUCCGUAGCCGGUUUGGUCAGUCCUCCGGGAAAUCUGACGGCUCAACCGUUAGGCUUUCGGGGGAUACUGCCAGGCUUGGAACCGGGAGAGGUAAGAGGUACUACAGGGGUAGGAGUGAAAUCUUGUAAUCCCUGUGAGACCACCUGUGGCGAAGGCGUCUUACCAGAACGGGUUCGACGGUGAGGGACGAAAGCUGGGGGCACGAACCGGAUUAGAUACCCGGGUAGUCCCAGCCGUAAACGAUGCUCGCUAGGUGUCAGGCAUGGCGCGACCGUGUCUGGUGCCGCAGGGAAGCCGUGAAGCGAGCCACCUGGGAAGUACGGCCGCAAGGCUGAAACUUAAAGGAAUUGGCGGGGGAGCAC
rnacentral:rRNA from 1 species